rnacentral:rRNA from 1 species
CGCGCAGGCGGCCAGGUCAGUCGAAUGUGAAAGCCCCCGGCUCAACUGGGGAAGGUCGUUCGAUACUGCCUGGCUCGAAGAUAGGAGAGGGAAGUGGAAUUUCAGGUGUAGUGGUGAAAUGCGUAGAUAUCUGAAGGAACACCAGUGGCGAAGGCGACUUUCUGGCCUAUUCUUGACGCUGAGGCGCGAAAGCUAGGGGAGCGGAACG